rnacentral:rRNA from 1 species
GACGUAGGGUCCAAGCGUUGUCCGGAUUUACUGGGCGUAAAGAGCGCGUAGGCGGUCCGUUAAGUGUAGAGUGAAAGCUCCGGGCUCAACUCGGAAAUUGCUCUGCAUACUGGCGGACUUGAGGACGGAAGAGGUUUGUGGAAUUCCUGGUGUAGCGGUGAAAUGCGUAGAUAUCAGGAGGAACACCCAUGGCGAAGGCAGCAAACUGGUCCGUAUCUGACGCUGAGGCGCGAAAGCGUGGGUAGCAAACAGG